ACGGGAGGCAGCAGUGGGGAAUAUUGCACAAUGGGCGAAAGCCUGAUGCAGCGACGCCGCGUGAGCGAAGAAGUAUUUCGGUAUGUAAAGCUCUAUCAGCAGGGAAGAUAAUGACGGUACCUGACUAAGAAGCACCGGCUAACUACGUGCCAGCAGCCGCGGUAAUACGUAGGGGGCGAGCGUUAUCCGGAUUUACUGGGUGUAAAGGGCGCGUAGGCGGGACGGCAAGUCAGAUGUGAAAUCUAUGGGCUUAACCCAUAAACUGCAUUUGAAACUGUCGUUCUUGAGUGCUGGAGAGGUAGACGGAAUUCCUUGUGUAGCGGUGAAAUGCGUAGAUAUAAGGAAGAACACCAGUGGCGAAGGCGGUCUACUGGACAGUAACUGACGCUGAGGCGCGAAAGCGUGGGGAGCAAACAGGAUUAGAUACCCUGGUA
rnacentral:rRNA from 1 species